UACAGAGGUCUCAAGCGUUGUUCGGAUUCAUUGGGCGUAAAGGGUGCGUAGGUGGCGCGCUAAGUCAGGUGUGAAAUUUCGGAGCUUAACUCCGAAACUGCAUUUGAUACUGGCGUGCUUGAGGACUGGAGAGGAGACUGGAAUUCAUGGUGUAGCAGUGAAAUGCGUAGAGAUCAUGAGGAAGACCAGUGGCGAAGGCGGGUCUCUGGACAGUUCCUGACACUGAGGAACGAAGGCCAGGGGAGCAAACGGG
rnacentral:rRNA from 1 species